rnacentral:rRNA from 1 species
UAAGGAAUAUUGGACAAUGGAGGCAACUCUGAUCCAGCCAUGCCGCGUGAAGGAAUAAGGCCCUAUGGGUUGUAAACUUCUUUUAGACGGGACAAAACCCCUUUACGUGUAAAGGGUUGAUGGUACUGUCAGAAUAAGCAUCGGCUAACUUCGUGCCAGCAGCCGCGGUAAUACGAAGGAUGCAAGCGUUAUCCGGCAUUAUUGGGUUUAAAGGGUGCGUAGGCGGACUAAUAAGUCAGUGGUGAAAGCCUGCAGCUUAACUGCAGAAUUGCCAUUAUACUGUUAUUCUUGAGUACAGUUGAGGUAGGCGGAAUGUGUCAUGUAGCGGUGAAAUGCUUAGAUAUGACACAGAACACCGAUUGCGAAGGCAGCUUGCUAAGCUGUAACUGACGCUGAGGCACGAAAGCGUGGGGAGCAAACA